rnacentral:rRNA from 16 species
CGAGAGAACCAUGUCGAAGGAACUCGGCAAAUGACUCCGUAACUUCUGAUUACGAAAGCGGCACAUGCCAGGGGGUAGAGAUUGUUUAUUAUAAACACAAGACUCCGCUAAGUGGUGAAACGAUGUAUAGAGUCUGAUACCUGGCCGAUGCUGGAAGGUCGGAAGGAUAAGUGUGCUAAGCUUUGAAUGAAAUCCCCGGUAAACGGCAGCACGGACUCUAACUGUCCUAGGGUAGCGAAAUUCCUUGUCGCAUAAGUAGCGACCUGCACGAACAGUGUAACGACGGCCCCGCUGUCUCCGACAAGGACCCGAUGAAAUUGAAUUCUCCGUGAAGAUGCGGAGUACCAAUAGCUAGACGGUAAGACCACAUCCACCUUGAGUAUAGAUUCGCAGUGACAACCUUGAUUGAAUGUGAAGGAUAGGUGGGAGGUGGUGACACACAACAACCAAUCCUGAGAGACCACUCUUUCAUCUAAGGAUACCUAACCACCGCACCGAUCAUUUGGGGGUGGGCACUGAGAGGUGGGUAGUUUAUCUGGGGAGGAUGCUCCUGAAGAGUGAGAGCCUACUUGACUGUGAAGGUGUGCGAAGGUAGGCUCAAGCGUUUAUUCUGCUCGUGAACGCAAUUGUAUAAUGCUAUAUGCUUAUGAGACAGACUAGUCGAACACAAACGAAAGUUGGCCAUGGUGAUCUGGUAGUCCCGUGUGGAAGCGCUCUUUCUCAACGGAUCAAAGGGACGCCGGGUAUAACAGGCUGAUGACUCCUAAUAGCUCUUAUCGACGGAGUCGUUUGGCACCUCGAUGUCAACUCAUCACAUCCUCGGGUUGAAGAAGGUCCCAAGGGUUCGGUUGUUCGCGUAUGAAAGUCGUACAUGGGUUGGGUUUAGAACAUCGUGAGACAGUUCAGUUCCUAUCUACCAUUGGUGUUAAAGGGAGAACUGCAAGGAGCCAGCCCUAGUAUGAAAGGAAUGGGUUUGCUCAACCUAUGGUGUACCCUCGAUACAACUCAUGUCGAUCAAGUAGGUAUCUUAUACCCCGACUCCCGACCUCCGUUGCCACAAGGCCCAAAACCAUUUUGAAAGCCUUGUUAAUCUAACCUGAUGCAGUGCAUGUUUUUGUCUCGAACAAACCCUCUAGCUCAAGGAUACCUAGUAUGCCUCCAAUUUUCUAAGCCAACUACUAGACAUCCUCGACAUGUGAAGGUGCAAAAUUCGAAACGGCGAACGUGCUAGAUAUUAAUGAGAGAUUUUUCUACCAUCUUAACAUACAUAGAAACAAGAAAAAAUAUCAAACAAAAAUGCACCUAAUAUUU